rnacentral:RNase_P_RNA from 1 species
GGUAACAGAAGUGGCAUGGUAAACCCCACCCGGAGCAAGAUCAAAUAGAGGAACAGACGCGUGGCCCGCGCGGUUCCUGGGUAGAUUGCUUGAGCUGCAAGGUGACUUGCAGCCUAGAUGAAUGGCUGUUCUCGACAGAACCCGGCUUACAGGCUGGCUCUUUCU